AUGCUAUUCAAUAUAUCACAAUCACAUAUUUUUUUUACUGUUUCAUUCAACUCCUUUUCAGCAUAUUUGGCUCAUUUGUUGCUGCACACCAUGAAUCCAAGCUACCGUCGUAGAUCAGAAAGUGACUAUGAAUUUAUUCAUUUUGUACUUCCUACUUUAGAAGAUGUAUCACAAUCUUCUUCUAGUAAGAAACCAAUGCAUACAUCAAAACUUUCGGGGGCUUGGCGUGUUCAGGAGAUUUUAACGGGGCAUGAAAGCUUAUGCAAAAGGACUUUCCGCAUGGAAGUGGACAUUUUUCAAGCACUUGUUGACAAGCUGCGUGAGAAAAAACUCCUUGCUGAUUCAAAAGUACUAGCAGUAGAAGAGCAAGUGGCAAUAUUUUUGUAUGCAGUAUCCAAAAAUGCAACAAAUGAAACCCUACAGGAUUGGUUUCAGCAUAGUGCAGAAACAAUAAGCCGGCGAUUUGGAUUAGUGCUUGAUGCGAUCACACGGCUCACAAAUGUCUAUAUACGUCCACCUUCCCUCAACCCACAUCCAAUCUUGAGCAAACCACAAUUUUAUCCUUUCUUUCAGAAUUGCAUUGGUGCUAUAGAUGGAACCCAUAUUCCUAUGUUCCUAUCACCAGGCCAACAAGAACCAUACCGGAACAGGAAGCAAACGCUCUCACAAAAUGUCAUGGUUGCUUGUGACCUCGACUUAAAAUUUGUGCAUGUACAUGCUGGGUGGGAAGGAUCAGCUUCUGAUGCAAGAGUUCUACAAGAUGCACUAAAUCAUGGUUUUCAUGUACCUCAUGGUAAAUUUUACCUUGUUGAUGCUGGUUAUGCAAACACACCCCAAUUUCUUGCUCCAUACCGUGGUACUAGGUAUCAUCUAAAAGAACAAGGAGAAGUACGUCAAAGGCCACAAAAUUACAAGGAAUUUUUCAACCUUCGUCAUGCUCAACUUCGGAAUCAUAUAGAGAGAAUUAUCGGCAUACUAAAAAUGAGAUUUCCUAUCCUGAAAGUUGCUGCACAUUAUUCAGUUGAUAAACAAAUUGACAUAUCCGUGGCUUGUUGUGUUCUGCACAAUUUCAUACGCCUACACAAAGGAGAUAUGGAGUGGCCCAAAGAUGCUCCCAUGGAGAUUGACCCGAACCAGAUUGUUGAUGUGCCAAAUGGAGACCACGACUAUCAUGGUGAUAUACAUGCAUUUAAUUAUUCCAGACAAGCAGGAAAUCAAAUGCGAGAUCAUAUUGCACAAGGAAUGUGGAACCAGUAUGUAUCACGCAGAGCUUGA
rnacentral:rRNA from 1 species